rnacentral:rRNA from 1 species
AGAGCGAACGCUGGCGGCAGGCUUAACACAUGCAAGUCGAGCGCCCGUAGCAAUACGGGAGCGGCAGACGGGAGAGUAACACGUGGGAACGCGCCCUUCGGUUCGGAAUAACUCAGGGAAACUUGAGCUAAUACCGAAUACGCCCUUACGGGGAAAGAUUUAUUGCCGAAGGAACGGCCCGCGUCGGAUUAGCUAGUUGGUGAGGUAACGGCUCACCAAGGCGACGAUCCGUAGCUGGUCUGAGAGGAUGACCAGCCUCACUGGGACUGAGACACGGCCCAGACUCCUACGGGAGGCAGCAGUGGGGAAUAUUGGACAAUGGGCGCAAGCCUGAUCCAGCCAUGCCGCGUGGAUGAUGAAGGCCUUAGGGUUGUAAAGUCCUUUUAACGGGGAAGAUAAUGACGGUACCGUAGAAUAAGCCCGGCUAACUUCGCGCCAGCAGCCGC